rnacentral:rRNA from 1 species
AGCAGCCGCGGUAAUUCCAGCUCCAAUAGCGUAUAUUAAAGUUGUUGCAGUUAAAAAGCUCGUAGUUGAAUUUCGGGAUCAUCAGGUUGGUCGUGCCUCUGGUAUGUACUGAUUUCGAUGGUUCCUCCUUCUUGAAGAACCGUAAUGCCAUUAAUUUGGUGUUGCGGGGAAACAGGACUGUUACUUUGAAAAAAUUAGAGUGUUUAAAGCAGGCAAUCGCUUGAAUACAUUAGCAUGGAAUAAUGAAAUAGGACGUUCGAUCCUAUUUUGUUGGUUUCUAGGAUUGACGUAAUGAUUAAUAGGGAUAGUUGGGGGCAUUAGUAUUCAAUUGUCAGAGGUGAAAUUCUUGGAUUUAUUGAAGACUAACUACUGCGAGAGCAUUUGCCAAGGAUGUUUUCAUUAAUCAAGAACGAAAGUUAGGGGAUCGAAGACGAUCAGAUACCGUCGUAGUCUUAACCAUAAACUAUGCCGACUAGGGAUCGGAUGAUGUUAAUUUUUAAUGA